AUUGAACGCUGGCGGCAGGCCUAACACAUGCAAGUCGAACGGUAACAGCAAGAAGCUUGCUUCUUUGCUGACGAGUGGCGGACGGGUGAGUCAUGUCUGGGAAACUGCCUGAUGGAGGGGGAUAACUACUGGAAACGGUAGCUAAUACCGCAUAACGUCGCCAGCCCAAUGAGGGGGACCUUCGGUCCUCUUGCCAUCGGAUGUGCCCAGAUGGGAUUAGCUAGUAGGUGGGGUAACGGCUCACCUAGGCGACGAUCGCUAGCUGGUCUGAGAGGAUGACCAGCGACACUGGAACUGAGACACGGUCCAGACGCCUAAGGGAGGCAGCAGUGGGGAAUAUUGCACAAUGGGCGCAAGCCUGAUGCAGCCAUGCGGCGUGUAUGAAGAAGGCCUUCGGGUUGUAAAGUACUUUCAGCGGGGGGGAAGGGAGUAAAGUUAAUACCUUUGCUCAUUGACGUUACCGGCAGAAGAAGCACCGGCUAACUCCGUG
rnacentral:rRNA from 1 species